UUUAUUUGGCAUUUAUUUGGCAUUUAUCGCUUUUUUUUUCUUUUUUUCUUUUUUUAAAUUGCUGUAACUUAAAAGUAUUGCGUAUAAUAUAAUUUCGUCAAUGUAUGUGAAAGUAUAAAUACAUACGAACACAUAUAUAUAUAUAUAUAUAUAUAUAUGCAUAUGUAAACAUAUUUAUGUAUUAUUCAUACAUAUUUGUUUUUAUUUAUGUAUAACAAAUAUUGAAGAUGUUAACAUUUAUAAAAAAGGCCUCUAAGGGUUUCGUCUACUGUUGCUCCUGUUGUAAAAAUUUUAAAGUUCGUAAGUUUUUUAGUGAAGAUUAUUUUUGGACUAAAGCCAACAUCGGCCCACUUUGUAUUGGCAUUUUAACAGCACCCUAUUGGUUUUCAGCAUUAAAAAAUUUUUACUGGACUACACGUUAUGAACGAUUAAAUCAACAGGAAAUAUUGUCUGAUAGAUUUACUUGGUUAUAUGAAAGGAUGUUAGAAGACGAAGUACAUAAAACUCUUUUACGCAAAUUGCCUUCAUACAAUUUUAAAGACAGUGGUCCAGAAAAUAUAUUAGGACCCAGCAAAAUAUAACAUUUUUUUUUUUUUUUUUUUUUUUUGGCUGUAAUCACAUAUACAUACAUAUAUAUAUGUAUAUAUAUUUAUGGUAAAUUAAGAGUGAUUGAUUUAAAAUAAUUAUGUAUAGUAUAAUAACGAUAGUACAGAGUUGCAAAUAUUAAUUUAUAUAUAUAUAUAUAUAUAUAUAUAUUUACAUGUGGAUGAACCACCUAUGUAUGGUUCCAUUAGAAUAUUGCUAAUAUAUAUUCUAACGAACUAUCUAACUGUAUUUAUAAUUAUAUUACUAUACAUACCUUUUUACAAAACAUCACAAUAAAUAUAGCC
rnacentral:lncRNA from 1 species